rnacentral:rRNA from 1 species
UACAGAGGGGGCAAGCGUUGUUCGGAAUUACUGGGCGUAAAGGGCGCGUAGGCGGCCUUCUAAGUCGAACGUGAAAUCCCCGGGCUCAACCCGGGAACUGCGUCCGAUACUGGAAGGCUUGAAUCCGGGAGAGGGAUGUGGAAUUCCAGGUGUAGCGGUGAAAUGCGUAGAGAUGUGGAGGAACACCGAUGGCGAAGGCAGCCCCUGGGGUAACACUGACGCUCAUGCACGAAAGCGUGGGAGCAAACAGGAU